AGAGUUUGAUCCUGGCUCAGGACGAACGCUGGCGGCGUGCUUAACACAUGCAAGUCGAACGAUGAACUCCAGCUUGCUGGGGGGAUUAGUGGCGAACGGGUGAGUAACACGUGAGUAACCUGCCCUUGACUCUGGGAUAAGCGCUGGAAACGGCGUCUAAUACCGGAUACGAGCUUCAGCCGCAUGGCUAGGAGUUGGAAAGAAUUUCGGUCAAGGAUGGACUCGCGGCCUAUCAGCUAGUUGGUGAGGUAAUGGCUCACCAAGGCGACGACGGGUAGCCGGCCUGAGAGGGUGACCGGCCACACUGGGACUGAGACACGGCCCAGACUCCUACGGGAGGCAGCAGUGGGGAAUAUUGCACAAUGGGCGCAAGCCUGAUGCAGCAACGCCGCGUGAGGGACGACGGCCUUCGGGUUGUAAACCUCUUUUAGUAGGGAAGAAGCGAAAGUGACGGACCUGCAGAAAAAGCACCGGCAAUAU
rnacentral:rRNA from 1 species